GAUGAACGCUGGCGGCAUGCUUUACACAUGCAAGUCGGACGGGAAGUCGUGUUUCCAGUGGCGGACGGGUGAGUAACGCGUAAGCACCUGCCCUUGGGAGGGGAACCACAGCUGGAAACGGCUGCUAAUACCCCGUAGGCUGAGGAGCGCAAGGAGGAAUCCGCCCAAGGAGGGGCUCGCGUCUGAUUCGCUAGUUGGUGAGAUAAUAGCUUACCAAGGCCGUGAACAGUAGCUGGUACGAGAGGAUGAUCAGCCACACUGGGACUGAGACAAGGAGCAGGGAACAACGGGAAGCAGGAGCGAGGAUGAUUCCGCAAUGGGCGAAAGGUUGACGGGGCAAUGCGGCGGGGAGGUAAAAGUCCUACGGGUGAAGAACUUCUGUUCAUGGCGAAGAAACAAUGACGGUAUCUGAAGAAUAAGCACCGGCUAACUCUGUG
rnacentral:rRNA from 1 species